rnacentral:rRNA from 1 species
UACGUAGGGGGCGAGCGUUGUCCGGAUUUAUUGGGCGUAAAAGGCUUGUAGGUGGCCACGUCAAGUCGGAUGUGAAAUCUCCCGGCUCAACUGGGAGGGGUCAUUCGAUACUGGCGGGCUCGAGGCCGGUAGGGGGAAGCGGAAUUCCCGGUGUAGUGGUGGAAUGCGUUGAUAUCGGGAGGAACACCAGUGGCGAAGGCGGCUUCCUGGACCGGUUCUGACACUGAGGAGCGAAAGCGUGGGGAGCGAACAGG